rnacentral:sRNA from 1 species
AAUCAAAUUUCCGCUGUUCACUCGAUUCAGCAACUUGUGCUUAUCCUUGGUUGUCAGAACAUAACGCUAUGGUUCAACGAUUUUCUUUACGGCGUUUGGGACAUGUCCAAUGACCAUAUACUUCGACAUAGUGUAUUCAAGUAUAUAGCACUCAUAUUGUACCCUUUGAUUGCCUACUAUAGGUUUCAGUCGGCUAUGGAGCUUAUGGAGUUGUACCGCCAUGUGUCUUGAUAUAGUUUAAGAAGUAUAUUCUUCAGAAAUGUACACAGAGGCAUAAAAAUGAAUAUUGAUUGAAAAGCAGACCAAAAAUAGCCUAUAUUAGUUUUUUCCAUUAAAGACCAAGGCACAUAUACAUGUAUAUUUAUAACAGAAGAAGUGUAUAUAAUGUCUUUUUACAUAUAUAUUUUACUAAUUUAUAGAGGAUACAAAGUUAGAGCGACUAAUUGAUAACAGAUUUGAGUUCAGAGAGAGAGAGAGAGAGAGAGAGAGAGAGAGAGAAGGAGAAGGAAAAAUAUUUGUUUAUAUACAGCAGCUAUGAUAGGCUGAGGAUUUGUUCUACAUUCGCAUGCAAGAUACAUUUAGUACAUUGUUUAUCAUUGAUGUUAAGUUACAUUCGAGAAUAUUUUACUGCCUUUUAUGAAAUUAUGAGCUUGGUAAAAAAAAAAAAAGUAUUUUUGAGAGAGACAGCCAGCCAUAUAGUUCAAUAUUAAUAUCUUUUGGUAUCUCAAAGAGAUUCUCAGAGGAUUAUAAUAUUGACAAUGAAAGAAAAAAUGAAUUGAAUCCUCAUAAUAAUAAUCAAAUCUUGAACAUUUAGGAGAUUCAACAAAAUAAUCAAAUCUUGAACGUUUAGGAGAUUCAACAAAGUUUUGAUUGUACAAAUUAGCAUUAAAAUUGCUAAAAAAAAAUGUCUUAGUUGACAAUGGAAUAUAUCUAAAUUUUUUUGUCCAUGGUUAUAUAAUUUACAGGAUUUUUGUUUUGUAUACUUUGAUUAAAUUUGGCUAUACU